AGAACUAACUCAUUGGAAGAGA
rnacentral:miRNA from 8 species